rnacentral:rRNA from 1 species
GACGAACGCUGGCGGCGUGCUUAACACAUGCAAGUCGAACGGUGACCUCGAGAGCUUGCUCUUGAGUGAUCAGUGGCGAACGGGUGAGUAACACGUGAGUAACCUGCCCCAGACUCUGGAAUAACCCCGGGAAACCGGAGCUAAUACCGGAUACGAAGUGGAGCCGCAUGGCUACUACUUGGAAAGUUUUUCGGUCUGGGAUGGACUCGCGGCCUAUCAGCUAGUUGGUGAGGGAACGGCUCACCAAGGCGACGACGGGUAGCCGGCCUGAGAGGGGGGCCGGCCACACUGGGACUGAGACACGGCCCAGACUCCUACGGGAGGCAGCAGUGGGGAAUAUUGCACAAUGGGCGAAAGCCUGAUGCAGCGACGCCGCGUGAGGGAUGACGGCCUUCGGGUUGUAAACCUCUUUCAGCAGGGAAGAAGCGAAAGUGACGGUACCUGCAGAAGAAGCACCGGCUAACUACGUGCCAGCCGCCGCGGUAACAC